GUGAGGAAUAUUGGUCAAUGGACGGAAGUCUGAACCAGCCAUGCCGCGUGCAGGAAUAAGGUCCUAUGGAUUGUAAACUGCUUUUAUUCGGGAAUAAACCUCUUUACGUGUAGGGAGCUGAAGGUACCGAAGGAAUAAGCACCGGCUAACUCCGUGCCAGCAGCCGCGGUAAUACGGAGGGUGCAAGCGUUAUCCGGAAUCAUUGGGUUUAAAGGGUCCGCAGGCGGGCUCUCAAGUCAGAGGUGAAAUCCCACAGCUUAACUGUGGAACUGCCUUUGAAACUGAUGGACUUGAAUUAAGUGGGCGUUGGCGGAAUAUGACAUGUAGCGGUGAAAGGCAUAGAUAUGUCAUGGAACACCGAAAGCGAAGGCAGCUAACGAUACUUAUAUUGACGCUCAUGGACGAAAGCGUGGGUAGCGAACAGGAUUAGAUACCCUAGUAGUCC
rnacentral:rRNA from 1 species